rnacentral:rRNA from 1 species
UAACACAUGCAAGUCGAACGGAAACGAAACUAGCUUGCUAGUAGGCGUCGAGUGGCGGACGGGUGAGUAACGCGUAGGAAUCUGCCUGAUAGUGGGGGAUAGCCCGAAGAAAUUCGGAUUAAUACCGCAUAAUCUAUUCGUAGUAAAGUGGGGGACUUUCGAGCCUCACGCUAUCAGAUGAGCCUGCGUAAGAUUAGCUUGUUGGUAGGGUAAAAGCCUACCAAGGCAACGAUCUUUAGCUGGUCUGAGAGGAUGAUCAGCCACAUCGGGACUGAGACACGGCCCGAACUCCUACGGGAGGCAGCAGUGGGGAAUAUUGGACAAUGGGGGCAACCCUGAUCCAGCAAUACCGCGUGUGUGAAGAAGGCCUGAGGGUUGUAAAGCACUUUCAAUUGUGAAGAAAAGUUAACGGUUAAUAACCGUUGACCUUGACGUUAACUUUAGAAGAAGCACCGGCUAACUCCGUGCCAGCAGCCGCGGUAAUACGGAGGGUGCAAGCGUUAAUCGGAAUUACUGGGCGUAAAGCGUGCGUAGGCGGUUUAUUAAGUCAGAUGUGAAAGCCCCGGGCUUAACCUGGGAACUGCAUUUGAAACUGGUCAACUAGAGUAUGGUAGAGGAAAGUGGAAUUUCUGGUGUAGCGGUGAAAUGCGUAGAUAUCAGAAGGAACAUCAAUGGCGAAGGCAGCUUUCUGGACCAAUACUGACGCUGAGGUACGAAAGCGUGGGUAGCAAACAGGAUUAGAUACCCUGGUAGUCCACGCCGUAAACGAUGAUAACUAGCCGUUGGGGGGAUUUACCCCUUAGUGGCGAAGCUAACGCGUUAAGUUAUCCGCCUGGGGAGUACGGCCGCAAGGCUAAAACUCAAAGGAAUUGACGGGGACCCGCACAAGCGGUGGAGCAUGUGGUUUAAUUCGAUGCAACGCGAAGAACCUUACCUGGUCUUGACAUCCUGCGAACUUUCUAGAAAUAGAUUGGUGCCUUCGGGAACGCAGUGACAGGUGCUGCAUGGCUGUCGUCAGCUCGUGUCGUGAGAUGUUGGGUUAAGUCCCGUAACGAGCGCAACCCCUAUCCUUAUUUGCCAGCACAUUAUGGUGGGAACUAUAAGGAGACUGCCGGUGAUAAACCGGAGGAAGGCGGGGACGACGUCAAGUCAUCAUGGCCCUUACGACCAGGGCUACACACGUGCUACAAUGGGAAGGACAAAGAGCCGCGAAGCCGCGAGGUGUAGCUAAUCUCAUAAAUCUUUUCGUAGUCCGGAUUGGAGUCUGCAACUCGACUCCAUGAAGUCGGAAUCGCUAGUAAUCGUAGAUCAGAAUGCUACGGUGAAUACGUUCCCGGGUCUUGUACACACCGCCCGUCAUACCAUGGGAGUGGGUUGCACCAGAAGUGGCUAGUCUAACUUUGUGAGGACGGUCACCACGGUGUGAUUCAUGACUGGGGUA